CUUCCCUGAAAGUCAGAGCAAUAAACAAGUCAUGAGGUCGAAGGAAUUUUCCGUAGAGCUCAGAGACAGGAUUGUGUCGAAGCACAGAUCUGGAGAAGGGUACAUUUCUGCAGCAUUUCCCCAGGAACACAAUGUCCUCCAUCAUUCUUAAAUGGAUGAAGUUUGGAACCACCAAGACUCUUCCUAGAGCUGGCCGCCCGGCCAAACCGAGCAAUCGGGGGAGAAGGGCCUUGGUCAGGGAGGUGACCAAGAACCGGAUGGUCACUCAGAGACAGAGCUCAUUUGUGGAGAUGGGAGAACCUUCCAGAAGGACAACCAUCUCUGCAUCACUCCACCAAUCAGGCCUUUAUGGUAGAGUGGCCAGACGGAAGCCACUCCUCAGUAAAAGGCACAUGACCCGCUUGGAGUUUUCCAAAAGGCACCUAAAGGACUCUCAGAAAAAAGAUUAUCUGGUCUGAUGAAACCAAGAUGGAACUCUUUGGCCUGAAUGCCAAGCGUCACAUCUGGAGGAAGCCUGCCACCAUUUCCAUGGUGAAGCUUGGUGGUGGCAGCGUCAUGCCUAGUCAAGAUCGAGGGAAAGAUGAACAGAGCAAAGUACAAAGAGAUCCUUGAUGAAAACCUGUUCCAGAGCUCCUCAGGCCCUCAGACUGGGGCGAAGGUUCACCUUCCAACAGGACAACAACCCUAAAUACACAGCCAAGACAACACAGGAGAGUCUUCGGGACAAGUCUCUGAACAUCCUUGAGUGGCCCAUCCAGACCCGGACGUGAACCCGAUCGAACAUCUCUGGAGAGACCUGAAAAUAGUUGUGCAGCGACACUCCCCAUCCAACCUGACAGAGCUUGAGACGAUCUGCAGAGAAGAAAUGGGAGAAACUCCCCAAAUACAGGUAUGCAGAACGUGUAGUCAUACCCAAGAAGACUUGACACUGUUAUCGCUGCCAAAGGUGCUUCAACAAAGUACUGAGUAAAGGGUCUGAAAACUAAUUUAAAUGUGAAAUUUCAUUUUUUUUUGUAAUACAUUUGCAAAAGAUUAUAAAAACUGUUUUUUCUUUGUCAUUAAUCGUUUGAUGUUGAAAAAAAAACUAGAAUCAUUUUUAUAGAUUGAUGAGGGAGAAAAAAAACGAUUGAAUCCAUUUCAGAAUAAGUCUGUAACGUAACAAAAUUGUGGGGGAAAAAAAUCAAGGGUUCUGAAUUCUUUCUGAAUGCACUGUAUAUGUUGUCAAAAUGCAUACUGCCUCCAGCGCAUUGCAAAGUGCUCUGUGACGCGCGGAUUACGCGUUUUGUUGCAUUCGAAUGGGAAACCGGAAGCUUCAAUUACCAGUUGAGAAGGAAAAAUAAUAAAAUAAAAUAAUCGCUAUUUUUUUAAUCGUGGCAACAAACAAAAAAAAACUAUUUUUAAACACACGAUUGCAUUUAGAAUUGUUGCCCAAUGAUUGGGUUUAUAAAUGCGCUGUCUGACAGAUUUUCCUCUCAAAGACACUGUAUCUGUAGCUGUGAUAAAUAAGAUAACAUAACAAAUAUACACAGCUGCCAAUUUAAUUGUAGUAAAUGACGCAAAUAAACCCAUAGACUGAUGCAUGACCAGUCAAAUGUCUUUUCAUCAACUGGUAUUUACAUCAAUGAAGAGGUUGUUGUUUUUCUUCUCCUGGACAACUGCCAGGUGGCAAUUUUAAUUUAUAUGGCCUUUUACUUAUUUUUUUACUGCCAAAAGAAGACAUUAUUACCUGCUAACGGAAACACCAGUGUGUAUAAAUGUGUGUGUGUGUGUGUGUUCCCUUGGUGCCUGUGUUGCGUAAACAGUGAUUCUUGAACUAUUUAUACAUCAUUACAACACUGUAUAUAGACAUAAUGUGACAUUUCAAAUGUCUCUAUUCUUCAUUUAAUAUAGCAGGCUUUUAAUAUUCAAUAUUGGUUGAAAGAUUCUUUUGAAAACGUUUGUGAGUGUAAUGUUUACUGUUCUUUUUUUAUUAUUGUUUAUUAUCUAUUUCACUUUCUUUGGCAAUGCAAACAUAUGUUUCCCAUGCUAAUACAGCCCAGAGAGAGACAGAGAGAGAGAGAGACAGAGAGAGAGAGAGAGAGAGAGAGAGAGAGACAGAGAGAGAGACAGAGAGAGAGACAGAGAGAGAGACAGAGAGAGAGACAGAGAGAGAGACAGAGAGAGAGACAGAGAGAGAGACAGAGAGAGAGUCAGAGAGAGAACACAAUACCUUCCAGUGUGCAGGCUACCCUGUCUUCCAGUGUGCAGGCUACCCUGUCUUCCAGUGUGUAGGCUACACUGUCUUCCAGUAUGUAAGGCUACCCUGUCUUCCAGUGUGCACGCUACCCUGUCUUCCAGUGUGCAGGCUACCCUGUCUUCCAGUGUGCAGGCUACUCUGUCUUCCAGUGUGCAGGCUACCCUGUCUUCCAGUGUGCAGGCUACUCUGUCUUCCAGUGUGCAGGCUACCCUGUCUUCCAGUGUGCAGGCUACCCUGUCUUCCAGUGUGUAGGCUACCCUGUCUUCCAGUAUGUAAGGCUACCCUGUCUUCCAGUGUGCACGCUACCCUGUCUUCCAGUGUGCAGGCUACCCUGUCUUCCAGUGUGCAGGCUACUCUGUCUUCCAGUGUGCAGGCUACCCUGUCUUCCAGUGUGCAGGCUACUCUGUCUUCCAGUGUGCAGGCUACCCUGUCUUGCAGUGUGCAGGCUACCCUGUCUUCCAGUGUGCAGGCUACCCUGUCUUCCAGUGUGCAGGCUACCCUGUCUUCCAGUGUGCAGGCUACCCUGUCUUCCAGAAUAAACUCUUCAUUCACUGAGUGUGACUGGUUUAUUCCUGUCCUGUCUACUAACACUGUGUUAGACAGGCAGCCCAAUUCUGAUUUUUUUUUUUGUUCACUAAUUGGUCUUUUGGCCAAUCAGAUCAGUUCUGAAAAUGAUCUGAUGUGAAAAGAUCUGAUGUGAUUGGUCAAAAGACCAAUUAGUAGAACAAAGAUCAGAAUUGGUCUGCCUGUGUGAGAGCAUCCAAUAACCAUUAGGUAUUCAAUCAAAAUCUGAGCGUUGAUGUCACAAUGGCAAAAAAAUAUGUAGAUAUUCUGUUUAUAUGGCAGAGACACAGGUUGUUUCCGACUAUAGACUACUAUAGACUACUAUAUACUACUAUAUACUACUAUAGACUACUAUAGACUACUAUAUACUACUACAGACUACUAUAGACUACUAUAUACUACUAUAUACUACUAUAGACUACUAUAGACUGCUAUAUAUAUAGACUACUAGACUACUAUAGACUACUAUAGACUACUAUAGGCUACUAUAGACUACUAUAGACUACUAUAGGCUACUAUAGACUACUAUAGACUACUAUAGACUACUAUAGGCUACUAUAGACUACUAUAGACUACUAUAUACUACUAUAGACUACUAUAGACUACUAUAGGCUACUAUAUACUACUAUAGACUACUAUAGACUACUAUAGGCUACUAUAUACUACUAUAGACUACUAUAGACUACUAUAGGCUACUAUAUACUACUAUAGACUACUAUAGACUACUAUAGGCUACUAUAGACUACUAUAUACUACUAUAGACUACUAUAGGCUACUAUAGACUACUAUAAACUACUAUAGACUACUAUAGGCUACUAUAGACCACUAUAGACUACUAUAUACUACUAUAGACUACUAUAGACUACUAUAGACUACUAUAGAAUACUAGAGACUACUAUAGACUACUAUAGACUACUAUAGACUACUAUAGACUACUAUAGACUACUAUAGACUACUAUAGACUACUAUAGACUACUACAGACUACUAUAGACUACUAUAGACUACUAUAGACUACUACAGACUACUAUAGACUACUACAGACUACUACAGACUACUACAGACUACUAUAGACUACUAUAGACUACUAUAGACUACUAUAGACUACUAUAGACUACUACAGACUACUAUAGACUAUUACAGACUACUAUAGACUACUAUAGACUACUACAGACUACUAUAGACUACUAUAGACUACUACAGACUACUAUAGACUACUACAGACUACUAUAGACUACUACAGACUACUACAGACUACUAUAGACUACUACAGACUACUAUAGACUACUACAGACUACUAUAGACUACUACAGACUACUACUGACUACUAUAGGCUACUAUAUAUAUAAAGCUUCUGUUUAUAUGGCAGAGACACGGG
ensembl:lncRNA